rnacentral:rRNA from 1 species
CCUACGGGUGGCAGCAGUGAGGAAUAUUGCUCAAUGGGCGCGACCCUGAUCCAGCGAUGUCGCGUGAAGGAUGGAUGCCCUACGGGUGGAAAACUUCUUUAAUAAAGGAAUAAAGUGAGGCACGUGUGCCUUUUGGUCUGUACUUUAUGAAUAAGGAUCGGCUAACUCCGUGCAAGCAGCCGCGGUAAUACGGAGGGUCCGAGCGUUAUCCGGAUUUAGUGGGUGUAAAGGGAGCGUAGAGGGGUUGUUAAGUCAGUUGUGAAAGUUGGCGGCUCAACCCUAAAAUUGCAAUUGAUACUGGAAGUCUUGAGUACAGUAGAGGUAGGCGGAAUGCGUGGUGUAGCGGUGAAAUGCAUAGAUAUCACGCAGAACCCCGACUGCGAAGGCAGCCUUCCGGCGCCCUACUGACGCUGAGGCACGAAAGCGCGGGGAUCGAACAGGAUUAGAUACCCGUGUAGUC